UUUUUUUUUUUUUUUUUUUUUUUUUUUUGUCUUUUUGGGGCCACACCUGUGGCAUAUGGAAGUUUCCAGGCUUGGGGGUCAAAUUGGAGCUGGAGCUCCCAGCCUACACCACAGCCAUAGCAAUGCCAGACCUACACCACAGCUCAUGGCAACACCAUAUCCUUAACCCACUGAGCAGGGCCAGGGAUCGCACCUGUGUCCUCAUGGAUACUAGGCAGGAUCGUUUCCGCUGAGCCACAAUGAGAAUUACCUACUUCCCUUUUUUAAAAAAAGUUUACACUUCUGCUUCCAGGCAGGUGGGAUGACAUGAACCAGAUUUACUCCACCAUGGUGAACAACUGAAAACUGGAAUAUACAAAGCAAUAGUUUUUAAGACACAAAGUUACGAAGUAGAGUGAUCCCUGAGAAACAAGGAAAGAAUGAAGCAAAUCCUACAACCACCCCAGUUUACUGCUUGGAGGGUUUCCAACUGGCAGCACAGGGAGAAGGAAUCCAGGGGAAGUUAGGCAGUCUCCCCACACUUAGAGACAAGUUGAGGCCAAGGCGGACAAGGCAGCUCGAGUCUGCAGGGCAGGUUAUCCACAAAAGAGAGAGCUGCACAGAAAGAGGAGUCCAGAGCUCUCCUCCUUGCGUACUCAGGACAGUACUGGCCAGCAGACGCCUGUGAAGAAAAUACUUGAGGUUUCCAUAUGAAGAACCACCCAGGAGUUCCCACUGUGGUGCAACAGGACCAGCAGCGUCUUGGGAGCACCAGGAUACUGGUUUGAUCCCCAGCCCGGCACAGUGGGUUGGGGAUCUGGCAUUGCCGCAGCUAGUGCUUAGGUCUUCGGCUCGGAUCUGAUCCUUGGCCUGGGAGCUCCAUGUGAUGAGGGGCAUCCAACGGGGGUGGGGGGCAAUCUGACUAGUAUCCAUGAGGACGUAGGUUCGAUCCCUGGCCUCCCUCAGUGGGUUAAGGAUCUGGCAUUGCAGUGAGCUAUGCUGUAGGUGGAAGACGAGGCUCAGAUCCCACGUUGGUGUUGCUGUGGCUGUGGUGUAAGGUGGAAGCAAGAGCUCCAAUUGGACCCCAAGCCUGGGAACUUCCAUAUGCCGUGGGUUUGGCCCUAAAAAGCAAAAAACAAAAACAAAAAACAACAGCAAAGCGGGAGGGAGAACUACCCAAAAGAAUAACAAGGACUGGAGUUCCCGUUGUGGUGCAGUGGAAACGAAUCUGACUAGGAACCAUGAGGUGGCGGGUUCGAUCCCUGGCCUUGCUCAGUGGGUGAAGGAUCCGGCGUUGCCGUGAGCUGUGGUGUUGGUCACAGACGUGGCUUGGAUCCCACGUUGCUGUGGCUCUGGCAUAGGCCAGCGGCUAUAGCUCCAAUUCGACCCCUAGCCUGGGAACUUCCAUAUGCCACGAAAACGGCCCAAGAAAAUGGCAAAAAGACAACAACAACAACAAAAAAAGAAUAACAAGGAUAAUUCAUGAGGCUCACACAGGGCCAAGAAGAGGACUGAUUCCCAACAGAGUGGAAAACCUCAGAAUUAACAAACUAUUAGAGUACUCAGAAGAGUUUUGGCUCAGUAGUGGGAAAUAAUUAGCCCUAAACUAAAUGCUGCUCUGAUCCCACCUAACAAGAUUUGAAAUGAACAAACCAUUUGUAAGGAACUGCAUCAUGUUCCAGAACAAAACUCAAGAAAAUAUUUAUAGGAAUCAGAGUUCCCGUCAUGGCUCAGCAGUUAGUGAACCCAACUAGGAGCCAUGAGGUUGUGGGUUGGAUCCCCGGUCUCGCUCAGUGGGUUAAGGAUCUGGCAUUGCUGUGAACUAUGGUGUAGGUCGCAGAUGUGGCUCAGAUCUGGUGUUGCUGUGGCUGUGGCGCAGACCGGCAGCUACAGCUCUGAUUAGACCCCUAGCCUGGGAACCUCCAUAUUUCGUGGGUGUGGCCCUAAAAAAAGAAAAAAGAAAAAAGAAAUAAAUGAGAGAGAUGACAUAAUUAGUGGACAAAGGUAUUAAGACAACUGUAACUGUAUUUCAAUGUGAGAAUUCAAAGGAAAGACUAUGUUAAGCAGGGACAUAAAAUACAUUUUAAAAAAAGAUCCAAAUCAAACUUCUAGAUAUGAAACCUAUAAUGUCUGAGAUGAAAAAUAUACUACAUACAAUGUAUUAAGAGCAGACUGGACAUUGCAAAAGAAAAUAUUAGCAAACUUAAAGGUAAAGCAAUAGAAAGCAUCCAAAACAAAAGAGAAAAGACUGAACAGCAGCAGCAGGAAGCAGCAGGGCUUCGAGCAGCCUCACUGACGUAUAAUUGUACACAUUAAAUAUGCAGAGCUUAUUUUAAGUCAAUUAUACCUCAUAAGGCUGUUUUUAAAAACCUAAUCUUGGGAGUUCCCGUCAUGGCGCAGUGGUUAACGAAUCCGACUAGGAACCAUGAGGUUGCGGGUUCGAUCCCUGCCCUUGCUCAGUGGGUUAACGAUCCGGCGUUGCCGUGAGCUGUGGUGUAGGUUGCAGACGCGGCUCGGAUCCCGCGUUGCUGUGGCUCUGGCGUAGGCCUGUGGCUACAGCUCUGAUUCGACCCCUAGCCUGGGAACCUCCACGUGCCACGGGAGCGGCCCAAGAAAUAGCAAAAAAAAAGACAAAAAAAAUUUAAAAAAAUUAAAAAUUAAAAAAUAAUAAUAAAUAAAAACCUAAUCUUUAGAAACAAUGCUGAGCCUUCAUACUGUUGAUUUUUUAAGUCCUACACUUAUCUUCAACAUAGCUGUACAGCUUCAUCAUCCUUUUCGUUAACUAGGUACUAGAUAACCACCUCAAAAAACAAAGCUCUUCUAUGCUUUCAAUUUCUACCUGCUUUCUCAAGAAGCCUAACUUUGAAUACCCUAACAGCAGUAUUUUCACAAAUACUCCACUAGAGGAAUUCAGCACAAAUCCAUCUUAAUAUUUAUCAGCUGUUCCAAUAUACAUUUCACCAGGUACCUUGAUUAAAGCAGCAGAAUCCAGAAGCAGUACAGAAGUUAAAAAGAACAAAGCUUUCACUUCAUCAGAACCUCGAGGUCACAGCUGCCCAGCAGUGCCCUCUGGGAAAAUGGAGAUGUUCGAUUCUGCGCAGUCCAGCACAGUGUCUACAGACAUCUACUGAGCACCUGAAAUGUGGCUAAUGGGACAGAACUGAACUCUCCAUUUAUUUGAUUUUAAUAAACUUAAAUUUAAAUAAUGGCUACACUGGAGUUCCUGUCGUGGUGCAGUGGUUAAAGACUCCGACUAGGAACCAUGAGGGUGCAUGUUCCAUCCCUGGCCUCGCUCAGUGGGCUAAGGACCCGGCAUUGCCAUGAGCUGUGGUGUAGGUCCAAGACAAGGCUCAGAUCUGGUCUGUGACCUACACCAACAGCUCAUGGCAACCCUGGAUCCUUGACCCACUGAUCUCGAGGUCAGGGAUCAAACCCACAAUCUCAUAGUUCCUAGUCGGAUUUGUUUCCACUGUGCCAUGACGAGAACUCCUUAUUUUAAUUUUUUUUUCAAUUUUUACAUUAAUAAACACCAAAGUUCCAUGGUGGCGCAGCACAAACAAAUUCAACUGUAUCCACGAAGAUGCGGGUUCCAUCCCUGGCCUCGCUCCGUGGGUUGCUGUGAGCUGUGGUAUAUGCUGAAGAUGAAGCUCAGAUCCCAAGUUGCUGUGACUGUGGUGCAGGCUGGCAGCUGUCGCUCCAAUUCGAUCCCUAGCCUGGGAGCUUCCAUACAUUGUGGGCACGGUCCUAAAAAGACCCAAAAAAAAAAAAAGGUAAUAAACACCCUAAAAUCAGAAACACAGGGAAAACUCCUAUCUCUAAGGCUUGGCUCAAAGCACCACUGCUUCUUGAACUUCUUGCUGGUUUCUUCAAUUCCAACCCUGUACCACAGGAUUAGACGACUGCAUUACCCCACGCCUCAAAACACCCUGUGAACACCGUCACCUGCAAAGGACGAGGAACUGGGGAGAGCGGGCAACGGGAAGGAGCUGCGUGAGAGAAAUGAGAUUUCCUUGUGGUGAUGAAUACAUUUUGGAGCUGGAUGGUGGGUGCACAACAAUGUGAAUGUACUAAAUGCCACUGAAUUAUUCACUUUAAAAUGGUUAAUUUGGGAGUUCCCAUGAUGAAGCAGCAGAAGCGAAUCCCACUAGGAGCCAUGAGGUUGCAGGUUCGAUCCCUGGCCUCGAUCAGUAGGUUAAGGAUCCAGCGUUGCUGUGAGCUGUGGUGUAGGUCACAGACGCUGCUUAGCUCUGGUAUUGCUGUGGCACAGGCCAACAGCUGUAGCUCCGAUUAGACCCCUAGCAUGGAAACCUCUCCACAUGCCGAGAGUGCAGCCCUUAAAAAAAAAAAAGGUUAAUUUGGGACUUCCCGUUGUGGCUCAGCAGAAAUGAACCCAACUAGUAUCCAUGCAAGUUUGAUUCCUGGCUUUGCUCAGUGAAUUAAGGAUCUGGCAUUGGUUGCUGUGAGUUGUGGUGCAGGUCGAAGAUGUGGCUCAUAUUUGUUGCUGCUGUGGCUGUGGUAUAGGCUGGCAGCUGCAGAUCUGAUUUGACCCCUAGUCCAGGAACUUCCAUAUGCUGCUGACUAGGCCCUUAAAAAAAAAAAAAGGCAAAAAAAUAAAAAAUAGGUAAAUAAAAUGGUUAGUUUUGAGUUAUGUGAAAUUCACCUUGAUAAAAAAAAAUUUACGAAUGUAUCUAAGGAAAAAAAAAAGAACAAAAAGAAUGAAAGAAUGUACCUAAGGGAGUUCCCUGGUGGUCUAGUGGCUAUGGCCCGGGUUCACGCCUGGUCUGGGAACUGAGACCCCACACUGUACAUCACAGCAAAAAAAAAAAAAAAAAAAAAAAA
rnacentral:lncRNA from 1 species